rnacentral:rRNA from 1 species
CAGCAGCCACGGUAAAACAGAGGGUGCGAGCGUUAAUCGGAUUUACUGGGCGUAAAGCGUGCGUAGGCGGCUUUUUAAGUCGGAUGUGAAAUCCCCGAGCUUAACUUGGGAAUUGCAUUCGAUACUGGGAAGCUAGAGUAUGGGAGAGGAUGGUACAAUUCCAGGUGUAGCGGUGAAAUGCGUAGAGAUCUGGAGGAAUACCGAUGGCGAAGGCAGCCAUCUGGCCUAAUACUGACGCUGAGGUACGAAAGCAUGGGGAGCAAACAGGAUUAGAUACCCGCGUAGUCCCUGUCUCUUAUAC